UUAAGCGACUAAGCGUACACGGUGGAUGCCCUGGCAGUCAGAGGCGAUGAAGGACGUGCUAAUCUGCGAAAAGCGUCGGUAAGGUGAUAUGAACCGUUACAGCCGGCGAUGUCCGAAUGGGGAAACCCAGUGCAAUUCGUUGCACUAUCGUUAACUGAAUACAUAGGUUAACGAGGCGAACCGGGGGAACUGAAACAUCUAAGUACCCCGAGGAAAAGAAAUCAACCGAGAUUCCCCCAGUAGCGGCGAGCGAACGGGGAGCAGCCCAGAGUCUGAAUCAGCUUGUGUGUUAGUGGAACGGUCUGGAAAGUCCGACGGUACAGGGUGAUAGUCCCGUACACCAAAAUGCACAGGUUGUGAACUCGAAGAGUAGGGCGGGACACGUGGUAUCCUGUCUGAAUAUGGGGGGACCAUCCUCCAAGGCUAAAUACUCCUGACUGACCGAUAGUGAACCAGUACCGUGAGGGAAAGGCGAAAAGAACCCCGGCGAGGGGAGUGAAAAAGAACCUGAAACCGUGUACGUACAAGCAGUGGGAGCACCUUCGGGUGUGACUGCGUACCUUUUGUAUAAUGGGUCAGCGACUUAUAUUCUGUAGCAAGGUUAACCGUAUAGGGGAGCCGCAGGGAAACCGAGUCUUAACUGGGCGUUAAGUUGCAGGGUAUAGACCCGAAACCCGGUGAUCUAGCCAUGGGCAGGUUGAAGGUUGGGUAACACUAACUGGAGGACCGAACCGACUAAUGUUGAAAAAUUAGCGGAUGACUUGUGGCUGGGGGUGAAAGGCCAAUCAAACCGGGAGAUAGCUGGUUCUCCCCGAAAGCUAUUUAGGUAGCGCCUCGUGAACUCAUCUUCGGGGGUAGAGCACUGUUUCGGCUAGGGGGUCAUCCCGACUUACCAACCCGAUGCAAACUACGAAUACCGAAGAAUGUUAUCACGGGAGACACACGGCGGGUGCUAACGUCCGUCGUGAAGAGGGAAACAACCCAGACCGCCAGCUAAGGUCCCAAAGUCAUGGUUAAGUGGGAAACGAUGUGGGAAGGCACAGACAGCCAGGAUGUUGGCUUAGAAGCAGCCAUCAUUUAAAGAAAGCGUAAUAGCUCACUGGUCGAGUCGGCCUGCGCGGAAGAUGUAACGGGGCUAAACCAUGCACCGAAGCUGCGGCAGCGACACUAUGUGUUGUUGGGUAGGGGAGCGUUCUGUAAGCCUGCGAAGGUGUGCUGUGAGGCAUGCUGGAGGUAUCAGAAGUGCGAAUGCUGACAUAAGUAACGAUAAAGCGGGUGAAAAGCCCGCUCGCCGGAAGACCAAGGGUUCCUGUCCAACGUUAAUCGGGGCAGGGUGAGUCGACCCCUAAGGCGAGGCCGAAAGGCGUAGUCGAUGGGAAACAGGUUAAUAUUCCUGUACUUGGUGUUACUGCGAAGGGGGGACGGAGAAGGCUAUGUUAGCCGGGCGACGGUUGUCCCGGUUUAAGCAUGUAGGCUGGUUGUCCAGGCAAAUCCGGAUAAUCAAGGCUGAGGUGUGAUGACGAGGCACUACGGUGCUGAAGUAACAAAUGCCCUGCUUCCAGGAAAAGCCUCUAAGCAUCAGGUAACAUUAAAUCGUACCCCAAACCGACACAGGUGGUCAGGUAGAGAAUACCAAGGCGCUUGAGAGAACUCGGGUGAAGGAACUAGGCAAAAUGGUGCCGUAACUUCGGGAGAAGGCACGCUGGUGUGUAGGUGAAGUCCCUGCGGAUGGAGCUGAGACCAGUCGAAGAUACCAGCUGGCUGCAACUGUUUAUUAAAAACACAGCACUGUGCAAACACGAAAGUGGACGUAUACGGUGUGACGCCUGCCCGGUGCCGGAAGGUUAAUUGAUGGGGUUAUCCGUAAGGAGAAGCUCUUGAUCGAAGCCCCGGUAAACGGCGGCCGUAACUAUAACGGUCCUAAGGUAGCGAAAUUCCUUGUCGGGUAAGUUCCGACCUGCACGAAUGGCGUAAUGAUGGCCAGGCUGUCUCCACCCGAGACUCAGUGAAAUUGAACUCGCUGUGAAGAUGCAGUGUACCCGCGGCAAGACGGAAAGACCCCGUGAACCUUUACUAUAGCUUGACACUGAACAUUGAGCCUUGAUGUGUAGGAUAGGUGGGAGGCUUUGAAGCGUGGACGCCAGUCUGCGUGGAGCCAACCUUGAAAUACCACCCUUUAAUGUUUGAUGUUCUAACGUUGGCCCCUGACCGGGGUUGCGGACAGUGUCUGGUGGGUAGUUUGACUGGGGCGGUCUCCUCCCAAAGCGUAACGGAGGAGCACGAAGGUUAGCUAAUCCUGGUCGGACAUCAGGAGGUUAGUGCAAUGGCAUAAGCUAGCUUGACUGCGAGCGUGACGGCGCGAGCAGGUGCGAAAGCAGGUCAUAGUGAUCCGGUGGUUCUGAAUGGAAGGGCCAUCGCUCAACGGAUAAAAGGUACUCCGGGGAUAACAGGCUGAUACCGCCCAAGAGUUCAUAUC
rnacentral:rRNA from 1 species